GCAGCGAGAGGGUUAAGCUCCCUCGCGGUACUUGCUGCAGUAAGUGGAAAGGAAAGAAGUGUCAACUCUGUUCUCACCACAGCGGGGCUGUCGGAUGGCACCUCCCCCCGCCCGGCGCACCCCGCCCGGCCUGCUCCCCCGCCCUCCCCUCGGAACGCGCGCACACACACCUCCCACCGCUUUGCCCAAAUUAUUUUCGAUCCCGGGAGACUCCGGAUGCCAGACGCGCUCCGUGGCGGCGACAGCGGCCGCGCCUGAUUCAUUGCGCCAAAGCUGCAGAUGCGACCUCCCGCCUGCGCCCUGUGCCCUGGCCUGCUGCACCGUCUCCAUGGAAACCGCGGAGGAGGUCACGGUAGCUGGGCCCCCGCGCGUCACCCCGCGCCUCGUCGGCUGCAGACGCCAGGAUUGCGGCCUCCCAGGCGCCGCGGCCCGCGUGGACUCUACUCCGCGUUCCCCGCCCCCGCUGCACUCCGCCCGCGGCUCCAGCCGUAUGACUUUGUCGGGUCCCAAAUGGAACGGCGCACCUGGGCACCGGUGCGCCAGGCCGUGCCUCUGUCCCCAGGCACUGGCACUAGAGACUGCGCCAAGAAACACGUGCGCAGCUCCAAGACGAGGACGCGUGCGGCAAGAAGCCGUUAGGGGAUCCCUGCACUUGUGAAUGCCCUGGGCGACCGACCUAUAUAGGCGCACAGCUCCCGCGCUCUGGCUACAGUGAGACCCCUGGUGGGAGUCGGCCAAGUCCUGCCUAAGUAACUUCCUAGCUACGUGACUUCGGGGGAGUCACAACUUCUCUGCGUCUCAGCUUGCUCGUCAACAAAAUGGACUUGUGAGGCUGGAGACAAAGUACAUUAAACGCUUAACUACCUUCGUCACGAGGUUCCGAAAA